AGGGCACCAAAAAUCCACACCCACACAAGACAGCAAACUUAAUUGGUAAGUGUUAUGUGUGUUCUUUCUGCUCCACUAGCUCCUCUCUUUGGACCUCCCUAUUCCUUGAGACACAAUAAUUUAUGCAGUAAACUUCUCUGUUGUCUUUUUUUAAAGAAAUUGCCACAUUUCAGUGACCACUACUCUGUUCAGUCAACAACCAUCAUUAAAGAGGCAAACCCUCCACUAGCCAAAAGAUUACAACUCAUUGAAGGUUAAUAUGAUGGUUAGCAUUUUUUAGCAGUAAAGUAUUUUAAAAUUAAGGUAUGUACAUUGUUUUUUAGAUAUAAUACUGUUGCACACUUUAAUAGACUACACUAUAAGGUAAACAACUUUUAUAUGCACUGGGAAACAAAAAUAUUCAUGUGACUCACUUUAUUGCAAUAUUUGCUUUAUUGCAGUGGUCUGGAACUUAACCCAUAAUAUCUCUGAAGUAUGCCUGUAGACGGCCAGAUGUUUUACCCUGCUAUGUUAAGUCAUCUUGACAUCCUGCCAUGAAAUGGAAACAACUGCUAGUUUUAAUAUUGCUCCAUAUCUUUAUUACGGGGUUCUCUUUGUCAAAGAAAUGCCCUGACUUGAUGGAACACCAAAACCUCAUUAAAUUGCAAACAGUAGAUGAUAAAAGAUGGAGAAAGGGCCACGCCACUCAAAGCACGGCAGCUGUACCGGUGGUGCUCCAGAAGGACAAUGCGUUCUCCACGUCAGGGCUGCACACAUGGCCCCAUCCAUGAAUCAGAGGCUGUCUUUAUUUAAACUUUGUGUCUUCAUCACCUAGCGAUCAGAGCACUCUGCAAACAGUAGGUACUUAUUAAUGAAGAUCUUUGGGGGUGCAGGGGCUGUCUAGCACCUAGCAUAGCAUCAGGACAUAAUUGAUAAUAAAUGCUUGUCAUUUGAAUGAAUAAAUGGCUGU
rnacentral:lncRNA from 1 species